rnacentral:rRNA from 1 species
AUGAUCUUACACGACCUUUGGUGUGUUUUGGUUUGCUUCCACGACCUUGAUGUGUUUGGUCUUCCAGGCUUCCAUCCAAGCCACACAUAUCAUCCUGUUAGUGUGUUAUCACAUCAGCGGCCAGCGGUAAUUGAUGGAGCUUUUGGUCCUGGAGCCGUGACUAGACCACCUAUCACACCUGUUCCUCCAGCUAAUGUUUUUGGUCCUGGAGCCAUGACAAGACCACGACCACUUAUGACACCUGUUCCUGCAGCUAAUGUUUUUGGUCCUGGAGCCGUGACUAGACCACCUAUCGCAUUUGUUCCUCCCGCUAAUGUUUUUGGUCCUGGAGCCAUGGCUAGNNNNNNNNNNNNNNNNNNNNNNNNNNNNNNNNNNNNNNNUCCUGGAGCUGUGACUAGACCACCUAUCGCACCUCUUCCUUCAGCUAACGUUUUUGGUCCUGGAGCUGUGACUAGACCACCUAUCGCGCCUCUUCCUCCAGCUAAUGUUUUUGGUCAUGGAGCUGUGACUACACCACCUAUUGCGCCUGUUCCUCCAGCUAACGUCUUAGGUCAUGGAGCCGUGACUAGACCACCUAUGACACCUGUUCCUCCAGCUACUGAUUUUGGUCCUGGAGCUGUGACUAGACCUCAUAUCGCACCUGUUCCUCCAGUUAAUGAGCCACAAUUUAAAGUAUAUGUUGGCAAGAUUGCAUCAACAGUGGACAAUGACUUUGUUCUUUCUCUUCUUCAGGUCUGUGGAAUUGUAAAAAGUUGGGAUCCAGUCACAAAUCCAAUUGGUGGAACUCCUACUGGGUUUGGCUUUUGUGAUUUUGAAUCUGCCGAAGGCAGUCUUCGUGCGUGGCGGUUGCUCAACAAACUAAGAAUUGAUGGUCAAGAGCUGUUGGUUAAUGUCAAUGAAGCCAUGAGCCAGCACCUUCAGAAAUACUGUGAGAAUACUACAGAAGAGAAGGCCAAUGAAACUGAUAUGGCUGCUAUGCAAACGAUACACAGUAUGGUUGAAGAGAGAAUGAGGUGUAAAUUUCUGGGUUCACCAAUUCAGUCUGUUCAGGCAUCUACAAGCAUCAGUGAUGAGAAAGGCGAUGGUCAUACAAGGAGUGGUGCACUGGAGGAAAGGACAAGCAAGAGACAACGUGAAAAAGAGGAACAUUUAGGGGAAAAUAAAGUUGUUUGUUUGCAAGGUUGGAAAGAUAAAGAAGUGAUUUCAGCUGGAAAGCCUUCUCUGCAAAUUGAUGCGAUAUCAUCAACGUAUGUUCCCAUGGAGCCUGAAUCUACAAUUGAACACGAGAGGAAACGUCAGCGCAGGGAAAAUGGGUUUCAUAAGAGCAAUGGUGAAGGUAAGGGCAUUGUAUCUGUACCAGUGCUAGUCUCAGAUAAGCUGAACAGCAGUUCCCCAGGAGAAAAGGUGAAUUCUGAAUUGCAAGCUACAUCCAAGUCAGGGAACAAGGAAACUUUGGAUGCAGAACAGUUGCUUGCUGCUAUCCCUAAGACGAAGGAAGAACUAUUUGCUUAUGAUGUUAAUUGGGCAAUUUAUGAUAAGCAUGGAUUGCAUGAGAGAAUGAGGCAUUGGGUUUCAGAGAAGUCGAUUGAAGUUUUUGGCGAGGAAAUAGCAGAGUUUGUGGAAUAUGUUGUUGCAUCAACCAAAGAGCAUGUAGACGCACCUAGAAUGUUGGAGGCCCUUGUAUCUCUUAUGGAUGAUUCUGCAGAAAAGUUUAUUCUCUCGUUGUGGACGGAACUUAUAUUUGAAAUUAAGAAAGCUGAAACCGGAUUAGCAUGA